ACCAUUAUCGUCUAGUGGUUUAGGAUACCAGAUUUUCAUAUAACACAUAGAAAACCUCUGGGGACCGGAGUUCGAACCUCCGUGAUGGUG